AGGCCUGGGAGAGAAGCAGGGCUUGAUCUGUAGCCUCCGUGGCAGCUGUUGAUCAACCCUUGCCUCUCUCUUUCUCUCUG
rfam:Myotis brandtii contig155541, whole genome shotgun sequence.